rnacentral:rRNA from 1 species
AGAGUUUGAUCCUGGCUCAGAUUGAACGCUGGCGGCAGGCUUAACACAUGCAAGUCGAGCGGUAACAGAGAGUAGCUUGCUACUUUGCUGACGAGCGGCGGACGGGUGAGUAAUGCUUGGGAAUAUGCCUUAUGGUGGGGGACAACAGUUGGAAACGACUGCUAAUACCGCAUAACGUCUACGGACCAAAGGGGGGGAUCUUCGGACCUCUCGCCAUUUGAUUAGCCCAAGUGAGAUUAGCUAGUUGGUGAGGUAAAGGCUCACCAAGGCGACGAUCUCUAGCUGGUUUGAGAGGAUGAUCAGCCGCACUGGGACUGAGACACGGCCCAGACUCCUACGGGAGGCAGCAGUGGGGAAUAUUGCACAAUGGGCGAAAGCCUGAUGCAGCCAUGCCGCGUGUGUGAAGAAGGCCUUCGGGUUGUAAAGCACUUUCAGUUGUGAGGAAAGGUUAGUAGUUAAUAGCUGCUAGCUGUGACGUCAACAACAGAAGAAGCACCGGCUAACUUCGUGCCAGCAGCCGCGGUAAUACGAGGGGUGCAAGCGUUAAUCGGAAUUACUGGGCGUAAAGCGUUCGUAGGCGGUUAUUUAAGCAAGAUGUGAAAGCCCAGGGCUCAACCUUGGAACUGCAUUUUGAACUGGGUAACUAGAGUACUGUAGAGGGUGGUGGAAUUUCCAGUGUAGCGGUGAAAUGCGUAGAGAUUGGAAGG